UAUUUCAACUUUUAUGCUAAUGAGUUGAUGAACCCCUGUUUGGUUUUUUUACAGAUAUCUCUCACUAGAUUCAACACUUGUAAGCGCUGAUGGUUUUAUAGAUGUUGAUUUUGAUAUAGAGUCAUCUUCCAUGAAGCACACAAGAGGUUCAUUUUACCUUUUUAUACCUGAGAUUGAGUUAGAUGAACUUGAAGGUAUAUCUAAUUUAGCUGCAACAUUGGUAUGGGAUGACUCUUCCCUUUGUACAUUUGAGGAGGCUGUUCAAUCUUACGAGUUAGCUCUCUACCAAGCCACUCAUCAUUUUUGGCCCACCAUAGAGAAAUGUCAUAACAAAUGCAUCAGUUCUGCUCUUAGAAAGUUCAAUGUGAUGGAGGAUAAAAACACCUACAUGGUAUAGGUUCUUCAUUUUUGUACUUCAUUUAGGGAGUAAAUUAUAUAUCUAGAAUUCUUUUAAAGUACUUGCAGUCUUUGAGUGUUCUCUUCUUUGUUAUUGAACACUGCUUUGUGUUUUCAUGUUGAUAGUUGCCCUAUUUCUACCACAUUGAUGUCAUAAUCUAUUUUUCUAGUUCGGUGUAUAAUUGCUCUCUAGUUCUCCAUUGAAGUGACAUUCAAAUUGGAUGCAUCUUUGAAACUAGAAUGUUUGAAGAUUCUGCUGUUAUUUUCUCCUAACAAUUCAAAUUUGUUAGAUUAUUUGUAUGUUAACUCUUUCAAUGUUCUACUGUCGACUGAGAUGAUUGUGUACGUGUGUAUGAAUGCUCUCUCUAUGGGUGGAAAGGAUCUUGGGAAUGACACUAUGGAAGUGGUAUCUCCUUUAACUUGGGAUGCUAUUGUGAGUUGGGUGAAAAAAAAGACGGGACCUGGUAUAUACAACCUAUCGACAGUAGAGGAAGUAGAACGUAUAUUGACAGCUUGAACCUAAAGUAGUUUUGGCUUCCUUGACUCUCUAGUGGUAUUUCUUGGAUCUCAACUGGGACUUUAUUUGUACCUAUUGUUUACUUGAUAUCCAAAGUCUAGUAUUAUAAAAUUUCCUACUAGUUACCUGUUUGAAAUGCACACAAGUUAUUUAUCACUUUUUUGUCACUCCUACAUGCCCUAAAACACCUUGACCAUGUGGAUUUUUUUUUUGAACAACCCGAAAUUGAUAUUUUGCCUUGCGUUUUACUAAUGCGUUUUCAUAUUUUUUUGUUCGGAUAAUUUUUGUUU